rnacentral:antisense_RNA from 1 species
AGGAGGCCUGGGGAACAAUGAGUAAGGCAGAGAGGGAACAGAGGCUUAUAGGCCACUGUGCGGACUUUGGCGUUUAAUCUGAGCUGGGGACCCACUGGAGGAUUCUGAGCAGAGCACUGACAUGAUUGCGCUUACAUUUUUAAGACACUCUGGCUGCUGUGUUGAAAACAGAUGACCAUGGGGCAUAGACAGAAGCAGAAAGGUUGGCUGGAGGAAACGGAGAGAAAAUUUACAUCUGGUGGAGCAUAAAGAAACCAGCUAGAGGACUGGCCUUGUCAUUAUCUAACUGUGUUGUGACGAACUGGCACUUCCUCAUCUCUAAAAGCAGGGCCCUGAACUAGAAGACCGCCACGUCACAUGAUGAAAAACACUCAAACUAACACUUCUUACCCUUGUGAGCAGCCCUACUAGCAGAUUUAAUGUGGGAGGAGGUUCACACUACGGGAUAAAAAUCAAGUUUUAGGAUUCCAUUUUAUCUAAGCUGACCACCACAAGGCAGAGGAUCAAGACUUAGCUAAAUACAGCCCUCAGGCAAGCUUCACUUCCCCAUCUGUGAAGGGAGAAUAAAUAUAGCAUACACAUGUUAAGAUAAAUGAGAGAGCUGGUCAAGUGUUUCGAGCUCUUCGGCAGACAAGCCUGACUUUCCAAAAAAAGACAAACCACAACUUCGGAGCCAGUGCUAUUUCUUCUGUGCAUGGUGAGGUGACUUCCCCAGUUGUAAAGGAUUUAGAGCUGAAAUUCCAUAUUGUCUGGAGCUAUAAUUACAAGUCUCUUGCACUAAAACAGAGGUCAGCUGGCCUAAAGCAUGCUGAAAGAAGGUAAAUGUCUGGUCACAUUUCCAUGUGGUAUACUCCUUUCCUAACUUUUUGGCACAAAUUUCAUGUUGAUAGAAUAUUCAUUCAUUCACUCCACAAAUAUCUGGCAAGUAGGUGCUGAGUGCUGUGUAUAGACGAGUGAACACAACACAGACCCUGCCCUCAUUCUGUGUAGAGUACAGCAGAGGAGUAGGCACAGGGUUCUCAGCUAGGGCAGUACCACCCUAUGUCUGGGGGGCAUUUCGGACAUUUGGGAGGUGCUGUCAAUUGUCAAAAUGAAUGGGGAAACUCUGCUAGCAUUUAAGGGUGGGAGCCGUGGUGCCACAAUGACCUGUAUGAGGAAAACCAGCUCCAGGCCCACAUGACUAGUGAGUGUACUGCUAGACAUUCAUAAACAUGAAAAACUCUUUUGUGGGAAAACAGCCUGUUGCAUAGCAAGAGUGAUCCAUCUGGAAGUAAAACUGCCAUGAUGACCAAUGUUUGACGCCUACAAUUCAAGGUGUUCCAGUAGCACAGAUAAGCCCUCACAACCUCCCCGUGGUCAUGAGUUUCUAAAGGAAGUCAGGGAUGAUGAGCUUCCUGUGUCUUUACCCUAAAAGCUUGCUAUAUAAAGGAUACUUUCUGGAGGUUGGUUGUGAGAAUCCACCAUCUCUUGGCCUACCUAGAUAUCAUUUCUGUUUCUAAGUCUCUAUUAAAUAUUUCUUUCUGAGAAA